rnacentral:rRNA from 1 species
GGUUAAGCGACUAAGCGUACACGGUGGAUGCCCUGGCAGUCAGAGGCGAUGAAGGACGUGCUAAUCUGCGAUAAGCGUCGGUAAGGUGAUAUGAACCGUUAUAACCGGCGAUUUCCGAAUGGGGAAACCCAGUGUGAUUCGUCACACUAUCAUUAACUGAAUCCAUAGGUUAAUGAGGCGAACCGGGGGAACUGAAACAUCUAAGUACCCCGAGGAAAAGAAAUCAACCGAGAUUCCCCCAGUAGCGGCGAGCGAACGGGGAGCAGCCCAGAGCCUGAAUCAGUGUGUGUGUU